UGAGAAGAGCAUCACUCAUGCAAGUUUUCA
rnacentral:piRNA from 1 species